GUCCAUUUUUGUACUAAUCUUUGUUGAAGAAUGUAUGAAUAAUAUUUGACAUUUACUCAACAUUGCCCAAUUUAUCGCUAUUCUUCUUGGAUUUUAAACAUCAAAGUGCAGAUUAAUUAAUGAAGAAAUAUAUCUAUAGAAAUCCACUUAUAUACGCAAAGCUAUCACCUGUUUUUAGACAACAUAUGGUAUAAAAAGUAAGCAAUAAGUUAAAAUAUUACAAUUAAAACAUUGAAAAACUAAUUGUGUUUAUUUGGCAGUCCUGAUGAAGUAUCAAACAAAUGAAUGCCCGAGUCUUUAAUAUCCUUCGACAAUAGCCGAGGUCCAUCCCCAAUUUCUGUAGCAAUAAGAUACUUAAGUCCAUUUGGAUGAGAUUUAACUUCAAGACCUUGCAAAAGAUCUUUGUCCAGUGUAUUUGGAGAUAUGGUUUUACCAAUAAUGAAGUCUUCUUUUGAGGAUGGAGGGAAAAAAUGUUGAAUAUACCCAGCAACGAGAUUUACGUUCGAAGAUGGCAUAAAAAGGCAUGCAUUUGGACCUGCAUCAUAGGUAUAACAAACCUUAAAAAAAAGAAUAGGUAAUUGAUGCAAUGUGAGUUAAAUAUAAAUUAAUGUUUAACCAUAUUUUUUCCAAAUUUAUUAUUGAUCUGAUGGACUAAGGAUGAUACGGAAUGGGAAGUAUCGUUCAAAUAGGGGUUUGGAGGGUAUGUAUCCAUACAAAUAGCAUGGAAUUGAUUGCUAUCCUUCAUUACAAUUUCUGCAAAUCUUUCAAAAUCCUUGUUUUUCACAGCCUACAAUUUACUGGUAAGAAAAAAAACCAAAAUAACCAAUUAUUCACAAAUAAUACCUCUAAAAUCCUAUUCAUGCGUUCAGGAACAUCCUUUUCAACUCUAUAUUUCAAUAAAGUACUUGUUUUAA
rnacentral:lncRNA from 1 species